UGAUAAGCAGGCAGAACUCAGAUUCCAUAUUAAUCAGCCCAUUUUUACUGGGUUAAUUGGUAUGUAAUCUGAGUUUUUUUUCUUGAAAGGAGUACACG
rfam:[Clostridium] celerecrescens strain 152B c37, whole genome shotgun sequence.